CCUGGUGUGCUCUGGUCGUUGGGGUCAUGAGGGGUCGGACAUGACUUAACAACUAAACAAGAAAGCUCAUCCUCCAGUCAGAAGGCGGGGUCUUCCUACAAUAGUUUACACUUACGACUAUAAGGACGGGGUGGCUACGACAACGCCUGCUCCAAGCGCAACGUCACUGUUGAACUCCGAUCCCGGAUUUCUAGAGAAACGGGGGGGAGGUAAGAAGAAGACGAGUGUUUAGAGUCUGGGGGAUGUCCAGACUUAACGGGAGACGUCGCGUGGGGUCCGCCUUAAAAGUCAGGCAGUGGAGUGAACGGCCCGUCUCGGGUCUUGAGAAAGCCGUUACAGGGUCCUACGGAGAGCGACAGACACAGAAAGGGAGUGAGAGCGGCCUAGAGGGACGAGGCGGCGCAAUGGCGAGGAGCGCAGGUAGCAGCAGAAGUUUAGAGUUAAUCCAGUAAAAUUGAUGAGUCGGCCCAGAAUUGGCAGAGAAGUACUUUCCCUCACCACUCAAAGCAUGAUGAGGUGAGGAUAUUUCCUGCCAGAAACUUUUACUAUUAUUAUUCUUAUUGCAUUUGUUCCUGUGUGAUUUUCCUAUUGAAACGUAAAACUGUCCUGGGAAAAGUAAAGUGGCAAUACAGGAGCAGUGUAGAAGGUGUAUUAUGCAAACUCUGCAAGCGUAUCAAAUCAGUUUUUGAUAUUUUUUAAAACAAAACUUGGCCGGGUAGCUCAGUGAGUUAGGCAUCCGGCAGUGGAGCCAAACGUUGGGAGUUCAAUGUACAUUAUUCGCGAAGGCUUUCACGGCCGGGAUCUGAUGGUUGUUGUGGGUUUUUCGGGCUUUUUGGCCGUGUUCUGAAGGUUGUUCUUCCUAACAUUUCGCCAGUCUCUGUGGCCGGCGUCUUCAGAGGACAGCACUCUGUGCUGCAGAGUGCAGAGUACUGUCCUCUGAAGAUGCUGUCCUCUGAAGAUGCCAGCCACAGAGACUCUCCCCAACCACGUUGGGAGUUCAGUUUCCCACUGUAAAUCUCAGAAGAGCCAGCCAAAGUAGCCAUGGGUACUCAGCACAGUCCUGCAGCACCCCCAGAAGAAGGGAAUGGUAAACCACUUGGAGUACUUUCUACCUAGAAAACAGUGUUAAGGGUCACCAUGUCAUAUUUGACUUGACAGCACACAAUUAUUGUUAUAAAACAAAACUUAAGAUGUUUUGGGUUGGGCAGCUGUUUAAGAGGAGAAGGCAGAUUUGUGCAGAAUUGGUCCACCAGUUGCUGUUACUUCAUCGCUUGAGAAUGAGGUACAUGUUUCUGGGAAGGGAUAUCAGAGGGCUGUUGCCUUUAUUUUAAAACAUGGUUAAUAGAACUACAGCAAUAAGUGGUGAAGUGGAAUUCAUUUGGGAAGACAUGGCUUUUCUAAAGGGCAUUCUUUGGUUGUAGUGGACUUUGCAGUAUGGGAGAUGUGAUAGUAUAGCCCAGUGUGUAGUACAUUUGUUUUUAUUUAGAGAUCAGUGAUUGUGUCCCUACUCUGAGUACUCUUAUAACUUACCAGGAUGUGCAUGCAGUUCAGCCAGCAUACUACAGGUUGGGAAUGAGGAUAAAUUUGUUGCUCAAGUCUCUUAAUACUUAACAAAUACCAAAGAUAUUGAACAUUUUGUCAUAACAACCAAACUGGAAAAUAAACAGCUUUCUACAGCUGGGUUGAUGUGUGUU
rnacentral:lncRNA from 1 species